rnacentral:rRNA from 1 species
UACGUAGGGGGGCAAGCGUUUGUCCGGAUUUAUUGGGCGUAAAGAGCGUGUAGGCGGUUAGGUAGGUCCGUUGUGAAAACUCGAGCUCAACCUCGAGACGCCGAUGGAAACCCCCCUAACUAGAGUCCGGAAGAGGAGAGUGGAAUUCCUGGUGUAGCGGUGAAAUGCGCAGAUAUCAGGAAGAACACCCGUGGCUAAGGCGGCUCUCUAGUACGGUACUGACGCUGAGACGCGAAAAGCGUGGGGAGCGAACAGG